rnacentral:rRNA from 1 species
GUAGUUAGCCGACACUUAUUCCUGUGCUACCGUCCUUCCUCGUCACACAGAAAAGGGCUUUACGAUCCGAAAACCUUCUUCACCCACGCGGCGUUGCUGCAUCAGGCUUGCGCCCAUUGUGCAAUAUUCCUCA